rnacentral:rRNA from 1 species
GACGAACGCUGGCGGCGUGCCUAACACAUGCAAGUCGAACGGUAAGGCCCUGCUUCUGUGGGGUGCUCGAGUGGCGAACGGGUGGGUAACACGUGAGUAACCUGCCCCUGACUUUGGGAUAACAUCAGGAAACAGGGGUUAAUACCGGCUCGGAACUCCUGCAGCCUGGUGGGGGGUGGAUAGUUGCGGCGGGUGGGGAUGGUCUCGCGGGUUAUCAGCUUAUUGGGGGGGGAGUGGCUUACCCAGGGUUUGACGGGUAGCCGGCCUGGGAGGGUGACCGGCGACAAUGGGACUGAGAGAGGGCGCAGACUGCUACAGUGGGCAGCGGGGGGGAAUAUUGUGCAAUGGGCGGAAGCCUGAUGCAGCAACGCCGCGGGUGUGAUGACGGCCUUCGGGGUGGAAACCGCGUACGGCUGUUACGAAGCGUGAGUGACGUUAAUGGGUAAAGAAGCACCGGCUAACUACGUG